rnacentral:rRNA from 1 species
AUUGAACGCUGGCGGCAUGCCUUGCACAUGCAAGUCGAACGGUAACAGGUCUUCGGAUGCUGACGAGUGGCGAACGGGUGAGUAAUACAUCGGAACGUGCCUAGUAGUGGGGGAUAACUACUCGAAAGAGUGGCUAAUACCGCAUGGGAUCUACGGAUGAAAGCAGGGGAUCGCAAGACCUUGUGCUACUAGAGCGGCCGAUGGCAGAUUAGGUAGUUGGUGGGAUAAAAGCUUACCAAGCCGACGAUCUGUAGCUGGUCUGAGAGGACGAUCAGCCACACUGGGACUGAGACACGGCCCAGACUCCUACGGGAGGCAGCAGUGGGGAAUUUUGGACAAUGGGCGAAAGCCUGAUCCAGCAAUGCCGCGUGCAGGAUGAAGGCCUUCGGGUUGUAAACUGCUUUUGUACGGAGCGAAAAGGCUCUCUCUAAUACAGGGGGCUCAUGACGGUACCGUAAGAAUAAGCACCGGCUAACUACGUGCCAGCCGCCGCGGUAA